UACGUAGGGUGCGAGCGUUGUCCGGAAUUAUUGGGCGUAAAGAGCUCGUAGGCGGCGUGUCACGUCGGAUGUGAAAGCCCAUGGCUUAACUGUGGGUCUGCAUUCGAUACGGGCAGGCUGGAGUUCGGUAGGGGAGAUCGGAAUUCCUGGUGUAGCGGUGAAAUGCGCAGAUAUCAGGAGGAACACCGGUGGCGAAGGCGGAUCUCUGGGCCGAUACUGACGCUGAGGAGCGAAAGCAUGGGGAGCGAACAGG
rnacentral:rRNA from 1 species